CAGUAUGGUUCCUCUCCACCACAGUCCUAAAAAUAUCUGGGUGUCUUGCCCCACACUCCGAGUGUUUCACAAUGGACCUACAUAACCUCGGACCCCUGAGCGAUUGUUUUCGCUUUGGUUCGGUUCUUUCAAAGGAAUAGAUAAAUCAUCCCCGCUGCUGUGAUGAGAGAGGAGAUGAAGGAAAUGACAGUUUUUAUCUUUUAUUCAGGUAGUCUAAAUUUACACGAGACCACAAAGAGUUCCUGACAGGAUGUUAUUGAUUGCACUCACCCAGCUGGGGCUUGAGAUGGGUCUUCCUGCCACGUCACGGGGCACCCUCUUCCUCCCAUCCCAGCCCAAAUAAUCACGAAGCCAAUUCAGGGUCUCCUGAUGAAGUUGACAAUUUGGGAGGGGACUAUCUGACCCCCACCCACCCAAAACUGUGAUCCUGUGGGCUUACAAGGCCAGUCCAGGCUUAGUAAAACUUUGGCCUUUAAGGAAAGCUUCCAGAUGCUUUCGUUGGGAGCAGGAGAGAGCUGAGGAGAAGCCAGACUGAAGACAGAGUAGAAAGUUGGUGUACGGAGAAUUAUUCUAGACCCUACAGCUCAAUGACAACAACUUGCCUGUGAUUUGCCCCAGAGCUGUCAAUGAUCCUAAAAAGGCAGAUGAUAUGCCGUUGAUAAAGACACAGAUCUCCAGCAACUGUUCAAAGAAAGACAUACUCCCUCCAAGUCUCUGAAUAAAAAUGAUAAAAUGGGGGCUGGCGAGAUGGUUCAGCAGGUAAGAGCACUGACUGCUCUGCUGAAGGUCCUGAGUUCGGAUCCCAGCAA